GAAAAGCUUGGAGCCGGUUCCCAGCUGGAGCCGAGAUCCGUAUUGGGGUCUCGGGGGGGAGGGUCUUGGGCCAGGCUUGCGACGGGUGCUGCCGCCGCCGCUCCCGGCAGCAGAGCUGGGACUCCGCCGCGCUGCUCGGGAUCCCGGGACAAGAGAACAGAUGCAUCCUUUGGCAGUCGAUUGCACCCUGCCCUAGAGAGAAGUCCAGGAUAAUACUUUUGGGCCUAUAUUUCUCCACCCUGGAAUUCAUCCAGUUCAUUCCAGAAAUAUUGACCCUCUGCUUCUGUGACACCUCCUCAAUGAAUGUCUGAUGGACAGACACUUUCCGUUUACCUUGCAGCAAUUUUCUUUCCUGUGGAGGUUGGAAGAAAAGGUGAAUGGUGCCAAAAGUUGCCUGCUUUGGUGAAUAGGACUGUUCCACUUGGUUCUCAGAACAUGGGCCCUCGUUUAAAGCUGCAGCUGUGAUCCUCGCUGUCUGUCGGCAUUGAAGGGACCUGAUGUUUUACGUUAUUGGUGGGAUCACAGUGUCUGUGGUUGCAUUCUUCUUCACAAUUAAGUUCCUCUUUGAGCUUGCCGCACGCGUAGUCAGCUUCCUCCAGAAUGAGGACCGUGAGCGCAGAGGGGAUCGGACUAUUUAUGACUACGUGCGGGGAAAUUACCUGGAUCCCCGGUCUUGCAAAGUCUCCUGGGAUUGGAAGGACCCCUAUGAGGUGGGCCACAGCAUGGCCUUCCGAGUGCAUUUAUUCUACAAGAACGGGCAGCCUUUCCCGGCACAUCGGCCGGUGGGACUGAGAGUUCACAUCUCUCAUGUCGAGCUGGCAGUGGAAAUUCCAGUGACCCAGGAAGUCCUCCAGGAGCCCAGUUCCAACGUGGUCAAGGUGGCCUUCACUGUGCGCAGGGCGGGGCGUUACGAAAUCUCGGUGAAGCUUGGUGGAUUAAACGUGGCCUACAGUCCCUACUAUAAGAUUUUUCAGCCUGGAAUGGUGGUUCCUUCCAAGACCAAGAUAGUGUGCCAUUUUUCUACUCUGGUGUUGACCUGUGGACAGCCACACACCCUUCAAAUAGUGCCCCGAGAUGAGUAUGACAACCCUACCAACAAUUCUGCAUCCUUGAGAGAUGAGCACAAUUACGGUGUGUCCAUCCAUGAGCUCGGUCCUCAAGAAGAAGAGAGCACUGGUGUCUCGUUUGAGAAGUCAGUGACAUCCAACAGGCAGACCUGCCAGGUGUUCUUGCGACUCACCCUGCAUUCUCGUGGCUGCUUCCAUGCCUGCAUUUCAUACCAAAAUCAGCCAAUCAAUAAUGGUGAAUUUGACAUUAUUGUCCUAAGUGAGAAUGAGAAGAAUAUUGUUGAACGCAAUGUGUCCACCUCAGGAGUGAGCAUUUACUUUGAGGCUUAUCUUUAUAAUGCUACCAACUGUACCAGCACGCCCUGGCACCUUCCGCCCAUGCACAUGAGCUCCUCCCAGCGCCGGCCUUCUACAGCUGUGGAGGAGGAAGAUGAAGAUUCACCCUCUGAGUGCCAGACCCCUGAGAAGGUGAAGAAACCAAAGAAGGUGUACUGCUAUGUGUCACCAAAGCAAUUCUCAGUGAAGGAGUUCUACCUGAAAAUCAUUCCCUGGCGCCUUUAUACCUUCCGAGUGUGCCCAGGAACAAAAUUUUCAUACCUUGGCCCUGACCCUGUUCAUAAGCUCCUCACACUGGUGGUAGAUGAUGGCAUUCAACCACCUGUGGAGCUUAGCUGUAAGGAGAGGAACAUUCUAGCAGCCACUUUCAUCCGCUCCCUCCAUAAGAAUAUAGGAGGCUCUGAGACCUUUCAAGACAAGGUGAACUUCUUCCAGCGAGAGCUUCGGCAGGUACAUAUGAAAAGACCACAUUCCAAAGUCACCCUGAAGGUCAGCAGACAUACCUUGUUGGAAUCGUCUCUGAAAGCCACUCGGAAUUUCUCCAUCUCAGACUGGAGCAAGAACUUUGAAGUGGUUUUCCAAGAUGAAGAAGCUCUGGACUGGGGAGGGCCUCGCCGGGAAUGGUUUGAGCUCAUCUGCAAAGCACUAUUUGAUACCACCAAUCAACUCUUUACCCGAUUCAGUGACAACAACCAAGCAUUAGUACAUCCCAACCCUAAUCGCCCCGCUCAUCUGCGCUUGAAGAUGUAUGAGUUUGCAGGGCGGCUGGUGGGCAAGUGUCUCUAUGAGUCCUCUCUAGGAGGAGCCUACAAGCAACUGGUCCGAGCUCGCUUCACCCGCUCUUUUUUGGCCCAAAUCAUAGGACUACGUAUGCAUUACAAGUACUUUGAAACAGAUGACCCAGAAUUCUACAAAUCUAAAGUUUGCUUCAUCCUCAACAAUGACAUGAGUGAGAUGGAGCUGGUCUUUGCAGAAGAGAAAUAUAACAAAUCAGGUCAAUUGGAUAAGGUUGUAGAACUCAUGACAGGUGGAGCUCAAACCCCAGUCACCAAUGCAAAUAAAAUCUUCUAUUUAAAUUUAUUGGCCCAAUAUCGUCUGGCCAGUCAAGUGAAAGAGGAGGUGGAACACUUCCUAAAAGGCCUGAAUGAGUUGGUCCCUGAGAACCUUUUGGCUAUUUUUGAUGAAAACGAGCUUGAGCUGCUGAUGUGUGGGACUGGGGACAUCAGUGUGUCUGACUUCAAAGCCCAUGCAGUGGUUGUUGGCGGCUCAUGGCAUUUCAGAGAAAAGGUCAUGAGGUGGUUCUGGACCGUGGUGUCCAGUCUGACCCAGGAGGAGUUGGCUCGGCUGCUGCAGUUCACGACGGGCUCCUCUCAGCUACCACCCGGAGGUUUUGCCGCCCUCUGUCCCUCGUUCCAGAUUAUUGCCGCUCCGACCCACAGCACGCUCCCGACGGCGCACACGUGUUUUAACCAGCUGUGCCUCCCCACAUAUGACUCGUACGAAGAGGUGCACAGGAUGCUGCAGCUGGCCAUCAGUGAGGGCUGCGAGGGCUUCGGCAUGCUCUGACCACUCUCCUGCCACCCCCCGGGCGCCCGUGCUUCCUGGAGCACCUGGGUGCACCUAACACCGUGACAACCACCGACCCUAACGCGUCUCCAUCGGCCAGAAGCUGCUGCAUGCUUCCCCGUGUCUGGAGGACUGGCUCGCCUACGAGCCGGGUUGCUCCCUCGCUUUCCCCUCCACCUCUCCCCCACCGGCCACUUCGGCACGGCGUGGAGUCUGAGCUGCUCACUCAUGAGAAGAGGACCACGCUGCUGUCACUUCACUUGGUUCUCAGAAGAUCUCGGGAGCUGAGGGAGAUUACACAAAUGGCUCGGCUUCCUUAGCAGGCUGGGGCCCGCCUUGCUCAGCCUCCUGUGCCGAUGCCCCGACAGGUCCCUCUGCGGCCCGCAUUACUUGCCCUUCGGCGACGUGAGUCCUUCCUGGGCACAGGGCAAUGGCCCCUUCCCACCAGGAGCCGGGAGAAGCAUAGAUAGCAAGUGACCCACAUGAGCAGUCCUCAUUUUCGUCCCUCUGCACCAUGGCGGCCUCAGGUCCACCACUGGUCUACCUCGAAGGGGGACUGAUGGCACAAAAGGAUCUUUUUUUGUGGUGUCAGAACUGGAAAAGGAGCUUUUUUCCCUGAAGGCAUUUCUGGAUAUGAUCAUUAAUCCAUAAAGAACUCUCUAAGCUUUUUCUUGAGUUUGAGCCAGUGAGAAAAAACAGACCCAAGAAUGUGAAAGAUAGCUGGGCCAUAGCUUCCAGUGCUGAAAAUGAUUUUCCUUUAGGGCACGUCUAGGCCUCUGGCUGGCCUGGAAGACUACUGAUGUUUGUCCCUGAGUUUGUCCUAUACACUGAGGUGUGGCUGGGCCUGGCCGCUUAGCUCCACCUUAUGCAGUCUGCUAAGAGCUAGGGAUUCUUUAGCUUUCUACGGAAGAAAAUUUUGUAGCAAGGGUUUGGGGUAGUAAGAAUAGCAUGCUAAGACUCCCUGACUCUCUCCUUGCUUAGUAUUCUCUGGCGGCACUGAGGCAAGGGAAAAGGGAUCAGUGGCUGAAGUGCUUAAUCACAGGUCUGCGGGGUCCGACAGCAAACACCCAGUGGCCCACUGACCUCCUUCCCUCUCUAAGCUGCCAGCAAGAGCCCCUGAGGAGGGAGGACGAUCUAGUAGGUUCACUGUUACACGGUGACUGAAGAGAAACUGCCACUGGCUCUUGGUAAGUCACACCAUCCUUUUUCAUGACAAUUUGAAUGCAGCCAUUUUCAAGACUCAAUAUCUCAUCAACUUCCCGAAUCUCUGUUUUUAAGAAGGCUUUGCUGCAAGCUACCAUUCUCAACGGGGCAUUCAACCCUGAUUACAAGCCAUCUUUACUGCCAAAACCAGCAAGUCCACAGAGUCCGGGGAUGAGGCGGGGCUUGUGGCCGUGCCUCGGCCUCCUGGAAGCCUGUCUGAGCCCUCCUGUUCCCAGGGACCACGAGGAACCAGCCCUCCUGAGCUGCUCCUGCUGCGGCCUGAUCUCACUCCUUUGCGGUUGUCAUUUGUCCUUCUUGGCGUGGGUGCUGACCUCACUCGUUCUUGGGUCCAGGAUCCAGCAUCAGGGCCUCGACACCCCCAGCCAGGGUCCUCCAUGCCACACGGUCACUGCUGUCCUCAGGGACCAGGACAAGGUGCUGCUGCUUGCUCCAGCGUUUUCCCAUGGGACAAAUACAGGGUGCUAUAGCUGAUGCCUGUUCCUCUCUGGGGUUUGGACAAGUUGUAGCGUUGAUUCCCCGAAGCUUCUGAGCUGGAUCACAGCUGGAUGGCCGUUGCCUUUAGGAAAGCCUUCAGUCUUCUUUUCCCGGAGGGAUUCCUCCUCUGAUACUUUGUUGAUGAUGAUGCAAGCCUAUGUCUCCUCAAAUACUCAGAGCACCAGGACUAAACUUGGGUAUUCUCCUAUAGAUCUGGCACUUGCCAUCCUAGUCAAGGUAGACGUGUCGUUGGAUCCUGACAGGCUCCGGAGGUGGGUGGGGAGGUCUGGAGGUGGGUGUGGGUACAGCAGCUGUGCGUGCAUCUGCCAGUUUCACAGUGGUUCUGGUUUCAACAGUUCUGACUUGAUCCCCGAACACCUUGAAAAUUGUAUUGUUUUGGCGUCCAAACCAUGGCUUCCAGACAGCCUCUCAUACCCGGAAGCAGUGCUUUAAAACUCUUGUCAGGCCAUAUCUGGAGUUUUGGCUCCAAAAAUGCCAUUGUGGAUUAGCUAUACAGGGAUGAAAAAAAGCACAACUCCAGUCCUGCUUUUGGGGCACAGGCUGGGCUCAAGGGCUUGGCGUGGUGGGUAAAAGGGGCCAAGAUAGUGGUUGGCACAAGGAUAUGGAGAACUCUGGAAGCGGAGCCAGAGACUCUGAGGACUGAGGCCCAGGAAAGUUUGGCACGAGUAACCCCGGGUAUUUAACCAGGAACAGUCCCUUUAUUUUUCUCAGCCUUGGCAGCCGGUCAGAGCAACAAGCAGUUCUAGCAAGGUCCACAUCCUUCCUAUUGUCUCCACCCCAACCUCACUCAUCGUCCCAAACAUCUGCUUCAUAUUUGGGCCCUUGCCUUCUCCCUGAUUCCUGUACCAAACCGCGGUGGCGAGCGUGAGGGCGAGGGGCAGGUCUGCAGGUGUGGGAUGGGGAAGAAGAGGAGGUGGGAGGCUCUGGGAAAAGUCCUUUAAAGGUUUUAUUUCAGGUGCUGCAGAAGGAUGAAGGAUCUGACCUUUUUUUUUUUUUUUUUUAAUGUACAUAUAUAUCACCCAAAUCUAACCAGUAAGUUGUUUCACUUUUUGGAUAAAGGGAGGGCAGGAAUUGGGACCAGCUGGGGACAUCUUCGGGCCAUCAGAGGGCCUGCUUUUCAAAGGUAGCUCAGAGUCACUCCGGAGGGAGCAAAGUGAAGUGAUUAAUGCCCACAGUGAACAGUCAGGAAGUGCUAAUGAGGUAGUAAACCUUCUCCAGCUCGCAGCUGCGUGGAGGCUGAAGCAGAGGCAGGCGAGGCCAGCCGGGGCCUGGAGGUGGCAGGAAAGGAGACAAGCCAGAGCUAGCAGCCACAGCAGCCUCGAACGUGUCACCGCGACAAAAUCGAACUUUCCCUAGUGCCUGCCCUGAAAUGUCAGUCCAUUUGAUGUUUUUUAAGAUUUAUUUACUUAUUUGAGAGAGAGAGAGAGCACGGGGGAGGGACAGAAGGAGAGGGAGAGAGAAUCUCAAGGAGACUCUGUGUUCAGUGCAUACCCAACCAGAGGCUCAGUCUCAAGACCCUGAGAGAUCAUGACCCGAGCCAAAACCAAGAGUCAGACGCUUAACCCACUGAGCCACCCAGGUGCCCCUGCCAGUCCAUUUUAAGUGACAGAAACUCCCCAAGGGAAAAUACUGGGGAGCCUUAGGGAGUAAUCUCAGAACUCUUAGAAUAAUGAUAGCAUCUAAUCCUGCGCCAUGCCCUGCUCAAGGAACUGCCUGUGUUAACUCAUUUAAUCUUCACAUCAAUCUACAAGGUAAAGACAGGUACUAUUUCCACAUUACAGAUGAGGAAACUGAGGCACAGAGAAGUAACUUGCCCAAGGUUGCAUGUCUAGUGAUGCGUCUAGGUGUCAAGCUGGUCCUGACACUUUAUCUCCCACGAGCUUGAAGGAGGUGGAGUUUGAGGACAGGAGAGUCAAAUCCAGAGAACGCUGGGAAGAGAGUUGCUAGUGUUCUGCUCAUCUUCCAACCCCGAGACAGAUUGUGUGGUCCUCUCACUCCUGGGGCCACAGGGAGCCAGUCUGACAGGCGCUUCUCCAUCCUGUCCCACUGUUCUGUGCCUCCUGAGGCUUCUGCUGCCCUCCCGGGGCAGAGCUUACACUUUCCACCCCCCUCUCCGACCCAGAUCAGCUGGGGGAGGCGACUUAGAGACUUGCCCAGGGCUCCAGGCCCCGGGUGGGGAAGAAGAGGCGCUGAAGGGCAGGAGCCAGCCAAGGCCCUGUGGGCUGCCAGGAGCACCGUUAAACUUCAAAGCUGCGGGGUGGGAACCAAACCCAUCACUUGGCUGCGAAGCUGGGAGCCCCAGUGACAUACCUCACCCUGGCAGGUCUCUGUCUGCAGAGAAGCAACCGGAUGGGUAGCGACAGGCUGAGGGUUGUUUCCAGCUGCUGCAGCCCGAGCUUCACCAGAGCCCACUUCAUGUCCUCUCUCCGUAGGAGAGAAGAGUGUGCUGGUGAGAGAUCACAGGGCCCUCGCCUGACUGGGCCAGAGCCCCACAGACACUGGGUCGCGGGCAUGAAAUGAACAAGCCCAGGUCAUGCCCGCCUUUGUGCCUUUGUUUAUGGUGGGCACUCCAGGAGGACUGCUGCCCAUCUCGGUUCCUCCCACCGCCUUGCCCUUCAGACCCAGCUCAGGUCAGAGCAGGUGAGGAUUAAAUAAGAGAAUUUAUGAAAAAUGCUUGCACAGUCUGACACACAGGAAGCCUAAAAAAAAAAAGUGGGUAUCAUAUUCUUAUUAACGACGGCAAAUAAAUAUGCACAGCUAUCUUUGGCUUUGUUGUAGUUUUGAAUUUGGAAGAUCUGAGUUCCAAUCCUAACCUUGCCCCUUCUUAGUUGAAUACUCUUGGAUAAAUUGCUUAAUGUCUCUUAACUAGAAAAUACUGAUUCUAACAGCUACAUAGCAUACCGCACAGAGGGAGUGUGAAGCUCAAAGAUAAUGGUUGUAAAAGAUGUUUUGUAAAAUCACAGAACCUCUUACGAAUGUUGGCUUUGCCUUUCCCACUUCCUCUGGCUCACAUGGGGCUCUGGCAUUGGCGAAGCUCCUAUCCCCUCCAUGCCUGCCCUUUGGGCGAUCUGACCCCUGCAACUGACCUGGCUCUUGUUAAAUCCCUUUGCCCCUUUAUUCAGCAAAGACAAGCCUGGAACUUUUUUCGGAAGAAACUUUGGUUUAAAAAUGAAAGGGGUAAAUUAAACCAAGCAAACGCAAAAGGAGAGCAAUUGGGCUUACGAAUCUGAUGUCUCCUGCUGUGAAGUCCAACCUUGAGGAGCAAAUCCACUUAGAGCCGUGACCACAAGCAUCACCUGCUGUCCCUCCUUGGCUUUGCCUGGUGGACUUGGGGUUGAAGGACCCCAAAGAAAAGGAGAGCCCAGAAUAAUAGUGAGCCACCUUCUCUCUCUCACACACACACAGGAUGUGGCUAACACCCACAGGUCUUCAAAUAUGAUGUGUCUGAGCCUCCCAGUGAGUCCAGCCCCCAGAGGCAGGCGUCCUGAGAAGCUAGGAAGGUGUGCACUUGGGUCUCCUCGCUUGCAUCAGCCCCUUCCAAGGUCAUAUAUAUAUUUUUCAAGAUCAUAUAUUUUACAAUAUCUGCCAAAGUAAGAUUUUUAUGGGGCGCCUGGGUGGCUCAGUUGUUAAGCGUCUGCCUUCGGCUCAGGUCAUGAUCCCAGGGUCCUGGGAUCGAGCCCCGCAUCGGGCUCCCCGCUCAGCGGGAAGCCUGCUUCUCCCUCUCCCACUCCCCCUGCUUGUGUUCCCUCUCUCGCUGUAUCUCUCUCUGUCAAAUAAAUAAAAUCUUAAAAAAAAAAAAAAAAAGAUUUUUAAACCGUAGUACUUUUACUGUCUCUGCCAUGAUUUCUUCUCUGUCACAUCCUUCUUGUCAGGUAGGGGGAGGUGGCUGUGGCAUCCAGGGGCGUGACUAAGGGAAUUUGAGUUGGGAGUGCAUUCAGUUGGGUUUACUGUCAGAUAUUCGUUUAGUUACUGUUGGGAAAACAUUCAGUUUUCUCACUAAUACACUUAUGCCACGUAAUAGUAGCUGAUGUAGUUAGAAGUGGCUUUCUAGAAUGUUCCCAUUGCCCAGUGUGGGGAUUCAGCUGAUGCAGUGACAGGUGCAGGGUCUGAAGGUUAUCACAUCCAGGAUGAGAAGUACUCAGGUAGGAGAGGAGAAACAAGGGCUUCAAUAUACAGAUUAUGAAGGAGGGUAUUUAUUUGAAAUAAUAAAAAAAGUCACAAAAAAAUUUUAAGCUAGCUAAUUUUAAGUCUAGAACAGUAAUCCGGACCAGCAUCUGGAUGUGCCCCUGUCAGCUGCUAUGUGUCUCUGCCCUCUGUGGGUCUGCCAUCGCCCGUCUGACGGGAUGUAGGAAGAGGAACAAUAAAGGAUUAACUUCAGAUUAACCAUUUGGGGUUCCCAGAGACAGAGAAAGAUGAUAAUGAUUAAAUAUGAAUUUUAUGCCAUCUUUUGGCACUUUGUGUGAGUCCCUGGAGGGAGGACACAGAGAGUCCCAAAACCAGUGUCUCGGGUUCUUGGGUUGAGGGCUGAGAGCUACAGGCCAGGGACUCUCCUGCCAGCUUCCCAUGGCCCUGACCUUUGUGUGUUCAAAUACAGGGAGCACAGAUCUAAUCAGAGUCAGGCACCUACUGUCACUGAUUCCUUAGGAACUUUUGAGAACCGACCUUGACCAGAGAGUAGCUCUGCAGG